rnacentral:misc_RNA from 1 species
CUUUUUUUGUCUCUUAAUUUCUGUAGUUGAACUGGUCUCUCCAGUCUACCUCUACCAUAUGUUCUUUUUUUACUUGUUAUUUUACUUGAUGGGUUCUUUUCAGUUUUGACUAUCUAGGUUUUUUUUUGUAAAAAAAAAUUGUUGACUGUUAUCUGGGUUUGGCUCAACUUUUUUUCAAUUUGAAUUGGGUUUCGUUAGUGUGACAUUGGUCUAAUUAUGAAUGACAUUUGGUUUUGAUCAGAGUGUAAUUGAGCAGUUCUCUUUUGGCCGGACUAGACGCAUUAAAUCUCAUUAACGGUUUCUAACGUUUUGUUUUAUCAGAUUAGAAAGCAGGUAGUGAGAUUCCUGGAUUAAUGGCCGGUUUAAAAGAUGACCCAGUUCUUGGAAUUAACGAUAUGAUAGAAACAAGGGAAGAGACUGAGAUUAAGGACGCUGUUAUAG